ensembl:lncRNA
ACGGUCACAUGAGCGUCAGCUGCACUUUCUGUUCGUGGAGCCUCAGAGCAGCAGCAGCAGUGAAGGGUUAACUCAGGACUGAGCCCGUUUGCUAAGCUUGUCUUCUGGUUCCAAGAUGGCGCCUGGAAGAGAUCCAACAACAAGCCUCCAGCUCUCUGACUCUGGUUCUGGAUCCAGGAGGACUGACGGGUCAGAGGGUCUGUGUCCUGAUGUGAAUGGAUCAGACACAGAGAGGGUGCGUUCACGAUCCGGCUCCGAGUCCUCUGCUCUCAGUGAUGGCUCCACACAGACGGAGCGGUCAGAGGACCAGGAUCCAGACCCGGCCCCCCUGGUGUCAGAGGAGGUGUCAGACCUGGAAUGCAGCGGUGAGUCCGUGAGGAGCGACGUGUCCAAAGAUCUGCCUUUCUGCUUCAGACGGACACACGUGCAGAGGUAAGCAGGAAGCGUCUCUUCAUCAUCAGCGUGUGACGUCAUGAGCAGGUGUUGAACGUUCUGUCCUCUGUCUUCCUCCUGGUCUGGACCGUCCUCUUCAGCAGUGAUGGGUCCAACGCUCUGUUCUGUUCUUCAUCAUCAUGUCUCUGCAUCCACAGCUCUGUUAGUGCGCUCCUUGUUGUCGUCUUAUUGAUUACAGUGUUAACC